rnacentral:tRNA from 2 species
GCCCCCGUAGCUCAGUGGAUAGAGCGAUCCCCUCCUAAAGACAAUUGGGCAGCGGCUGCCGAAAGGCGCCGCGUGAAUGGAGUCAAAUUCGGUGAACCCUGACAGCGCCUGGUCGUGACGACCGCGCGGCUGCUGGCAAUACCGAGCCAAGCCGGCUUCCGUGAGGACGCCGGAAGGUGUAGAGACUAGACGGCUCCGGUCUAAAGGCCAGUGCAUCAAUGGCACUGCCCACGAUCAAGGUAUAGUCCAGACCACAAACAGACUCUGGUGGCGAAAGCCAUAGUGGUAUGAAGGGAUAGGUCACACGUUCGAUCCGUGUCGGGGGCACCA